GGAAAUGUUGGUACUAUUCCAUUGUGACAAAUGGUAUCUUAGUGGGGCAAAGAGACAUUCCUUCUACAACUCCAAAACAACCAACGUAAAAGAUGUAGAGAGGCCUAACUCAGAAGGAGAGAGGAAGCGGAUCACUAUAUAAUCUAUUCAAUUUCAAUUUCAAAAGAUGCUGCUGCUGAUCAAAGGAUACUUAUCUGUUCUAUCAACGCUGGGAGACACAACAUGGCAAGACAGCAGAUUAUUGCACAGAAGGGACUGACUUCUGUAUACAGGACACAGAAAUAUGAAUGGAGAGGACUCCAGACCGAGAGGCCAAGUGUACUGGAUGCACGGAGCCUGGAUUUCUGAACAACUGCAUGGCAAGCACUUCCUGAAGGUGCACCUAACAAGGAAUACUGUGGUAGGUUGUGGACUGAAGGAGAAAGAAAUUUUAACUGUGUUAAGUCAUUGAAAUAGGAGUUUUUUGCCUAACCUUACGCAUCCAGUGAUUUAUUUAAUGGGUUAGACUAAGCAGUCGCUUCUUGGCUCCUGUUGUCAGGGCUUCUUACUCUCUAAAGGAAUGUAUUUCUUCAAAAUGUUAAGCAGUCUGUGGUUCUUACAUUGCAAGAAAAAGCAAAAAUGACAAUGCCCAGCAUGCUCCGCAAAUGAUUUUAUAUAUUAGGUUCCAGGCUUAAAGGGUCUGAGUUGAUGUUUGGGUUCCCUGGCUAGGCUAAUAAUUUAGGGACGUUUCAGAUAGUUACUCUUUAAGUCUUUGUUAAAUAUUGUAUAUCAGAGGUGAUGAGAAAUCAUUUUUAUUAAUAAAAUUAGAAUUCCUCUUCCUUGAAGCUUAUAAUAAAGGAUUUAUUGUAUGCACUGAAUACAGUGUAAGUAUUAUUAUUUAUUUUUUUUAUUUUUGUUUUUAUUUUUUUUGAGACGGAGUCUUGCUCU
rnacentral:lncRNA from 10 species